rnacentral:RNase_P_RNA from 1 species
UGAGCUGGCCGGGCGACCGCGGCCCGUCGUACAACCGGCGGGUCGAGGAAGGUCCGGGCUCCACAGGGCAAGGUGGUGGGCAACACCCACCCGGGGUGACCCGCGGGACAGUGCCACAGAGAACAGACCGCCUGGGCCGAGCCUUCGGGCACGACCCAGGUAAGGGUGAAACGGUGGUGUAAGAGACCACCAGCGCGCCGGGUGACCGGCGCGGCUCGGUAAACCCCACCUGGAGCAAGAUCAAGAGGGUCCGGCGUGCCGGACCUGCGCGAGCGUUCGAGGGCGGCCCGCCCGAGCUCGCGGGUGGAUCGCACGAGGCGCCUGGCAACAGGCGUCCCAGAUGGAUGGUCGCCCAUCGCGAGGCCGUGAGGCGCGCGAGGACAGAACCCGGCCUACAGGCCAGCUCAUCCG